rnacentral:rRNA from 1 species
AUGAAUACAUGGGAUGAAGUUAGGUUGAGAAAGCUAAGCAAAAAUCAGACAAUUGAUGAUGAUAUGGAAAGGGAGAUUGCAAAGGACAAGGAGCGUUGGAGACAAGUUUUGGUAAGAAUGGUUUCUGCUGUGAAGUUUCUUGCAAAACAUACUUUGGUUUUUCGUGGAUCGAAUGAGAGGUUAUAUCAAGAUAAUAAUGGUAAUUUUUUGGGCACGAUUGAAAUGAUUGCUGAAUUUGAUCCUGAUAUGCAAGAACACGCCCGACGCAAUCAAAAUAGUGAAAUUCAUCAUCACUAUCUUGGCCACAAAAUCCAGAAUGAGUUGAUAUAAGUUCUUGCUGAUGCUGUAAGAAAGGUUAUUUUAAAGAUCAUCAAAGAUGCCAAGUAUUUUUCUGUUAUCUUGGAUUGUACCUCGGAUAGCCAUGAAGAACAAAUGACUCUCAUUGUGCGUUGUGUCAAUAUGUCAAGCAACCUUCCGAGAGUGGAGGAGUUUUUCCUAGAGUUCCUAAAGGUUGAUGACACAUCGGGAUUGGGGCUUUUGAAGGUAUUGAUGGAUACAUUGAGUUCGUUUGAUCUGAAUGUUGCUAAUGUGAGAGGUCAAGGUUAUGAUAAUGGUUCCAACAUGAAAGGACAAUACCAAGGUGUUCAGAGUCGCUUCCUUAAAGAAAACCUCAAAGCAUUGUAUAUGCCAUGUGCAUGUCAUAGUUUGAAUCUCACUCUUUGUGAUAUGACAAAAUCUUGCAAACAAGCUAUUACAUUCUUUGGUAUUAUACAACGAAUAUACAUGUUGUUUUCUGAUACGUCUCCAACGUAUCUAUAA